rnacentral:misc_RNA from 1 species
AACGCACAUUGCGCCCCUCGGUAUUCCGGGGGGCAUGCCUGUUCGAGCGUCAUUGCACCCCUCAAGCUUCGCUUGGUAUUGGACCUUCGCCCCCGCGGCGGGCCCGAAAUGCAGUGGCGGUCCGGUGUGACUUUGAGCGCAGUAAAUUAUCUCCCGCUUUGAAAGUUCCCCCGCGACCGGCCAUUAACGCCCAAAUUUCAAUGAUUGACCUCGGAUCAGGUAGGGAUACCCGCUGAACUUAA